rnacentral:rRNA from 1 species
AAUUGUCAUGAGUUUUAGAGAUUAAAGUUAAGGCGCUUAAGGGAUGGGUGUGCGUUAGAUUAGGUAGUUGGUAGGGUAACGGCCUACCAAGCCGACGAUCUAUAAGGGGCGUGAGAGCGUGAUCCCUCACACGGGUACUGAGACACGGACCCGACUCCUACGGGAGGCAGCAGUAAGGAAUAUUGGACAAUGCCCGCAAGGGUGAUCCAGCCAUUCCGCGUGCAGGAAGACUGCCCUAUGGGUUGUAAACUGCUUUUAUUAGGGAAGAAACCCCUUGACGAGAUUGAGGGUUGACGGUACCUGAUGAAUAAGCACCGGCUAACUCCGUG